rnacentral:rRNA from 2 species
AGAGUUUGAUCAUGGCUCAGGAUAAACGCUGGCGGCAUGCCUAAUACAUGCAAGUCGAACGGGGGUGCUUGCACCCCAGUGGCGAACGGGUGAGUAACACGUAUUCAAUCUACCUUGAAGUGGGGGAUAACCUUUGGAAACGAAGGAUAAUACCGCAUGACAACUUCAUUAUGGCAUCAGAAGAAGUUGAAAGAUCCGUUUGGAUCGCUUUAAGAUGAGGAUGCGGCGUAUUAGCUAGUAGGUGAGAUAAUAGCCCACCUAGGCAAUGAUACGUAGCCGAACUGAGAGGUUGAUCGGCCACAUUGGGACUGAGAUACGGCCCAGACUCCUACGGGAGGCAGCAGUAGGGAAUUUUUCACAAUGGACGAAAGUCUGAUGAAGCAAUGCCGCGUGAGUGAUGACGGUCUUCGGAUUGUAAAGCUCUGUUGUAAGGGAAGAAAAUUUGGAAGAGGAAAUGCUUUCGAACUUGACGGUACCUUACCAGAAAGCCACGGCUA